rnacentral:rRNA from 1 species
AAAGCCCUGGGCUUAACCUGGGAAUUCCAGGGGGUCGUGGGCGACUCGAUUGCGUUAAGGGUGAGCGGGAAUUAAUGGCGCAGCAAUUCAAAUGUGUAGAGAUUCUGGAGGGAACAUCCAUGGGGGAAGGCAAACUACCUGGGCCAACACUGACAUUGGAGGCACGAAAGCGGUGGGAGCAAACAGGAUUAGAUUCCCCGGUGGUUCACGCCCUAAACGAUGCGAAUUGGAUGUUGGCUGCAAUAAGUCACGCACCAUCGAAGCCAACGCAGUAAGUUCGUAUCCUGGGCAGUUCGGUCGCAAGACUGAACUCAAACGCAAUGGAGGUGGACCGCACAAGCGGCGGAGUAUGUGGUCUAUUUCGAUGCAACGCGAAGAACCUUACCUGGCCACGACAGGUCGAGACCUGUCCAUAGACGGAUUGGUGCCUUCGGGAACUGGAACACCGGUGGUGCAUGGCCGUCGUCAGCUUGUGUCCUGAGAAAAUGGGUUAAGUCCCGCAACGAGCGCAACCCUUGUCCUUAAUUGCCAGCCCGUAAUGGUGGCAACUUUAAAGAGUCCGCCGGUGACAAACCCGAGGGAGGUUGGGACGGCGUCCAGUUUUCAAGGGCCUUACCGCCCAGGCUACACAAGUUCUGCUAUGUUAGCGGCCGAGGCCUUCAAACC